rnacentral:rRNA from 1 species
UACGAAGGGGGCUAGCGUUGCUCGGAAUGACUGGGCGUAAAGGGCGCGUAGGCGGAUGGCACAGUCAGAUGUGAAAUUCCCGGGCUUAACCUGGGGGCUGCAUUUGAUACUGGGUUGCUUGAAUUCGGGAGAGGAUAGCGGAAUUCCCAGUGUAGAGGUGAAAUUCGUAGAUAUUGGGAAGAACACCGGUGGCGAAGGCGGCUCACUGGCUCGUAACUGACGCUCAUGCACGACAGCGUGGGGAUCAAACAGG